UGCCCCAGUAACGGCGAGUGAAGCGGCAACAGCUCAAAUUUGAAAUCUGGCCCCCAGGGCCCGAGUUGUAAUUUGCAGAGGAUGCUUUUGGCGCGGUGCCUUCCGAGUUCCCUGGAACGGGACGCCAUAGAGGGUGAGAGCCCCGUCUGGUCGGACACCAAGCCAGUGUAAAGCUCCUUCGACGAGUCGAGUAGUUUGGGAAUGCUGCUCUAAAUGGGAGGUAUAUGUCUUCUAAAGCUAAAUACCGGCCAGAGACCGAUAGCGCACAAGUAGAGUGAUCGAAAGAUGAAAAGCACUUUGAAAAGAGGGUUAAACAGUACGUGAAAUUGUUGAAAGGGAAGCGUUUAUGACCAGACUUGGGCCCGGUGAAUCAUCCAGCGUUCUCGCUGGUGCACUUCGCCGGGCCCAGGCCAGCAUCAGUUCGCCGCGGGGGACAAAAGCUUCGGGAACGUGGCUCCCUCGGGAGUGUUAUAGCCCGUUGCAUAAUACCCUGCGGCGGACUGAGGUUCGCGCUCCGCAAGGAUGCUGGCGUAAUGGUCAUCAGCGA
rnacentral:rRNA from 1 species